CUCCCUCCCUUACGAGGCAGCGGCAUCGUCCUCCCCCCUUCUCCGCCACCUCCUCCUCCGGCGCGCAGCCCGCGACUCUGGCAUCCCCAACGCACUUUCUCUCCUCGAUCCGCUCGCUCUCUUCCCCCCGCCGCUCCUCCUUCUCCAGUAAAAAAUAAAUGAGAAGGGACGGCGGGUAUGCCUGGUCUUUUUUUCUCUUUCUUUCUUUUUUUUUUUUCUCUCUCUGUCCUCUGGAGUUGGUGAGAGGAUCACAUGAGGAGCAGGCACAGAGAACCAGGACCCUCAGAAGUCGGAGGAGGCAUCGGACACAUAUAUCUGCCAAUGGUCACCAUCACCCAAGGUUUCUCUCAAGGAAAAGAGGAAGGAAAUUUACUUUCCAAGCUGCUGUCCAGCUGCUCAUUUAGCCCUGACAACCCACUGAAGACACUGAAGAACGCCCAGCUAAAGUGGUUAAACGCCUGGAAAUGCAAGUGGAGGAGAAGUUCCUCCCCUCCAUUUUCAUUACUUGCAGCAGAUGACGUCAGUCUUCUACGACCUGUGCUAUGCAGAUGAAAACAUACAGAGUGUAUUAUGCAUUGAAGGGAAAUAUAGUUGCACAUCAACGCAUAGCCAGAAGCCUACAAGAAGCCCUGUGACGUCAAUGAGAAUGAUUUUGAUGAUUUUAGCAGCUUUUAAGUUAGAUCCUGGGUAUAUAUAUUUAUGUCACUAAAGGUCUGUACUUCAACUGCAAUAGUAGAUAAAAGCUUUUACAGCAAAUGUGUCAUUCUUAAUGCAUGAGUAUGCAUGCAAACCUAAACUGGCUUGAUUUUGUUCAGGAAGAUUCACUCCCAUUGUAACAAAAAUCUAAUAAAAACGAUUUAAG
rnacentral:lncRNA from 1 species